rnacentral:rRNA from 1 species
AGAGUUUGAUCAUGGCUCAGAUUGAACGCUGGCGGCAGGCCUAACACNNGCAAGUCGAGCGGUAGCACAAGANAGCUNGCUCUCUGGGNGNCGAGCGGCGGACGGGUGAGUAAUGUCUGGGAAACUGCCUGAUGGAGGGGGAUAACUACUGGAAACGGUAGCUAAUACCGCAUAACGUCUUCGGACCAAAGUGGGGGACCUUCGGGCCUCACGCCAUCAGAUGUGCCCAGAUGGGAUUAGCUAGUAGGUGGGGUAAUGGCUCACCUAGGCGACGAUCCCUAGCUGGUCUGAGAGGAUGACCAGCCACACUGGAACUGAGACACGGUCCAGACUCCUACGGGAGGCAGCAGUGGGGAAUAUUGCACAAUGGGCGCAAGCCUGAUGCAGCUAUGCCGCGUGUGUGAAGAAGGCCUUCGGGUUGUAAAGCACUUUCAGCGAGGAGGAAGGGUAGUGUGUUAAUAGCACAUUGCAUUGACGUUACUCGCAGAAGAAGCACCGGCUAACUCCGUGCCAGCAGCCGCGGUAAUACGGAGGGUGCAAGCGUUAAUCGGAAUUACUGGGCGUAAAGCGCACGCAGGCGGUUUGUUAAGUCAGAUGUGAAAUCCCCGCGCUUAACGUGGGAACUGCAUUUGAAACUGGCAAGCUAGAGUCUUGUAGAGGGGGGUAGAAUUCCAGGUGUAGCGGUGAAAUGCGUAGAGAUCUGGAGGAAUACCGGUGGCGAAGGCGGCCCCCUGGACAAAGACUGACGCUCAGGUGCGAAAGCGUGGGGAGCAAACAGGAUUAGAUACCCCGGUAGU